rnacentral:rRNA from 1 species
AGUCGAGCGGUAACAGAUCCAGCUUGCUGGAUGCUGACGAGCGGCGGACGGGUGAGUAACGCGUGAGAAUCUGCCCAGUAGUGGGGGAUAACUCGGGGAAACUCGAGCUAAUACCGCAUACGUCCUACGGGACAAAGCAGGGGACCUUCGGGCCUUGUGCUACUGGAUGAGCUCGCGUCGGAUUAGCUUGUUGGUGAGGUAAAGGCUCACCAAGGCGACGAUCCGUAGCUGGUCUGAGAGGAUGGCCAGCCACACCGGGACUGAGACACGGCCCGGACUCCUACGGGAGGCAGCAGUGGGGAAUCUUGGACAAUGGGGGCAACCCUGAUCCAGCCAUGCCGCGUGUGUGAAGAAGGCCUUCGGGUUGUAAUGCACUUUCAGUAGGGAGGAAGGCUUCCGGUUAAUACCUGGGAGUACUUGACGUUACCUACAGAAGAAGCACCGGCUAAUUUCGUGCCAGCAGCCGCGGUAA